UGUUUAGCAGGUUCGUUUGGCUAUCGUUUUAUUAUCCGUCUCACUGGUUCCUGGUUUUUUUCUAUCCAUGAAUAAUAAUAAUUUGAUUACACACACCUUUCUCACACUUUAUAUAUAGAGGAAACCCGAAAAAACAAAGUAGACACCGAA